rnacentral:rRNA from 1 species
UUGAACGCUGGCGGCAGGCCUAACACAUGCAAGUCGAGCGGAUGAAGGGAGCUUGCUCCUGGAUUCAGCGGCGGACGGGUGAGUAAUGCCUAGGAAUCUGCCUGGUAGUGGGGGAUAACGUCCGGAAACGGGCGCUAAUACCGCAUACGUCCUGCGGGAGAAAGUGGGGGAUCUUCGGACCUCACGCUAUCAGAUGAGCCUAGGUCGGAUUAGCUAGUUGGUGGGGUAAAGGCCUACCAAGGCGACGAUCCGUAACUGGUCUGAGAGGAUGAUCAGUCACACUGGAACUGAGACACGGUCCAGACUCCUACGGGAGGCAGCAGUGGGGAAUAUUGGACAAUGGGCGAAAGCCUGAUCCAGCCAUGCCGCGUGUGUGAAGAAGGUCUUCGGAUUGUAAAGCACUUUAAGUUGGGAGGAAGGGCAGUAAGUUAAUACCUUGCUGUUUUGACGUUACCAACAGAAUAAGCACCGGCUAACUUCGUG